AUGAUGAAACAGGGGACGGCGGCGGCGAGUGGGGCGUUUACCGGGGGAGGCGAUGUUCGUGCUGGCGCAGGCGAGAGGAAGAUCUCCAGCCUACCGGCGUACCUCGCCACGGCCGUGGAGGGCUGCCACAUCACGGGCGACAUCGUGCGGCGCUUCGCGGAGAUGGAGCUCUCGCCGCUGCUCCGUUGGCUGCUGGGCUUCAGAGGGUCCAGGGAGCGCCUCCUCACCGACGACCUCUUCAUCGCCAAGCUCGCCAUGGAGAUGGGCGUCAGCAUGAUCGCCAAGACCGCUGCCGAGUACGAGAAGAGACGGGAGAACUUCGUCAAAGAAAUUGACAUCGUCAUCGCUGAUGUGGGUGGGGUCGUCAUUCAAGGGAUGGACUUUUCCUUCAGGUUAUGGUCUUGUUUCUCUCAAGGAGAUGGUGAUAGCAAGGGGGGAGCGCAAGAUGUUGCUGAUGGAUUCAACAAUGCUUUUGGCAACGAUGAAGUUGAACUUGAUGACGGACUAGAGAAGAAAGUAUGUCAGAGAUAUGCAUGUUAG
rnacentral:rRNA from 1 species